rnacentral:rRNA from 1 species
UACGUAGGGUGCAAGCGUUAAUCGGAAUUACUGGGCGUAAAGCGCACGCAGGCGGUUCGCCAAGUUUGGAGUGACAGUUGUCGGCUCAACCGACAAAGGACUUCAAAAACUGGUGAACUUGAGUCCGGGAGAGGUGAGUGGAACUGCGAGUGUAGAGGUGAAAUUCGUAGAUAUUCGCAAGAACACCAGUGGCGAAGGCGGCUCACUGGCCCGGUACUGACGCUGAGGUGCGAAAGCGUGGGGAGCAAACAGG